rnacentral:lncRNA from 1 species
GGCCCCUGCCCUCCUGCAGCUGGUCCCUCCUAGGGACCCCAGCCCGGCCAGCACCCCUCGUUACAGGCCCCACCGCGGGAAGGCACUCGGCCAGCUCUCUCUCGCUGCCCCCAGGGUUAGCAGAAGCCACGUGAGGGGAGGCCGCCGAUGGAACUCCGCCAUUGUACUACCACCCAGCUUAGCGUGGUCCUGGUCCUCAGAUGCUUCCGCAGCAGAGCUUGGACAACCUCAGCAGCCAGUGUGGAAGGAUGGGCAGUGGGAACUGGCAGGAGGAGCCUCCCCGCAGCAGUCACUGGCUGUGGUGCAGGUCACGCUGGUCAGCAUGAGGGCCCCGAGCGCGGAGGCCACCCUGCACCAGGUCAGUCCCCCCGUGGGCCGGGCAGCCGGCUCUCUCCCUGCUCUCCAGUCAGGGCCCCCCGAGAGCCUACGGGAGACUUGGUGGGCAGUGGAGGGCGGGUGAGGCUUUGGGCCACAAGGCAGGUGGGGGACUGAG